rnacentral:lncRNA from 1 species
UCUAGACUAGAUAGGAAUAGGAAUAGGAAUAGGAAGAGUAAGCUUGUAAAAAACCAAUAAUAGUGUUUCCAUAUCCAGUAUCCAACAAUGCGUGAUCAUCUUCAACAUUUCAAACUUAAACGAGUGUAAUUACAAGGAAGAUUUGUUCAUUCAUUCAUCUCAAUUUACAAAAUGAUUUUAAACACCCUAGUUAGGCAUUGACAACCAGACACAUACUACCUUAGUAAUAAUGAUGAUAUCCAAAUAUCAAACAUUUAUCCGAUCCGACCGGUCACCAUGAUGCAGCAAAAAAAGGAGCAUGAAUUUGUGCCAUUGUAAUUUUUACUUGCAGGCCUGAAACCUGAAUAGCAUAUAUAUUUCAAAGGGUACACUCACUAAAACUAUCAAGGAUAUCACCCCCAACUCAAGUUAAAAUGUGACAGAAUCUUAUCCGCGUAGUUUGUUCUUUAUGAAGCUAUUUGUCAUGCUGUUGUAGAUCAAUUUCCCAGCCUGAUGCCAACUGCAAUAAAAGUUGAUCUGGUGGUACACCUUCCCAACCCUCAGCUGUAUCUGUUGAAGCGUCGUGUAAAUUCCGCAAGAGAUCUUCCUUUACUUCCAUGGGAACGCCAAAAGUAUCGGGGCCAUUUUCAAAUAAUACCUCCACCAACUGAACAUUAUGAUUACAAAUUUAGUAUCUUAAGCCUCAUAUGAAAGAUAUAAACUUAGCAAAAAAAAGGAAAGCAAAUGCAGUAUUGUGUAUAAUGCAGUAAAGUCACCAAAUGAUAAACAAGUGAAGAACUGUUUAAGCUCAAGAAAUGAUUAUGUUUUGAAUGUGUUGUCUUAUAUGACCAAUAACGUUUUCUGAACUUCAUUGUUCAAAUGUAUCUUGAAGAUAAAAAGUUAAGAUUCUAUUAAUCUUGAGAUGC